rnacentral:rRNA from 1 species
CCCUUAGAUGUUCUGGGCCGCACGCGUGCUACACUGAGUGGAUCAGCGGGUCAGGUUACGCGAAAGUGUUUCCUAAUCUUGAAAUCCGCUCGUGAUGGGGAUUGACGGUUGCAAUUUUCCGUCAUGAACGAGGAAUACCUUGUAAGCGCGGGUCAUCAUCCCGCGCUGAAUACGUCCCUGCCCUUUGUACACACCGCCCGUCGCUCCUACCGAUUGAGUGGUCCGGUGAGGCUUUGGGAUCUGAGCGGAAAGAGCGUUUCGCUGUUUCUGCUCGGAAAACUCAGUCGAACCUUAUCAUUUAGAGGAAGGAGAAGUCGUAACA